rnacentral:rRNA from 1 species
UACGAAGGGGGCUAGCGUUGCUCGGAAUCACUGGGCGUAAAGGGUGCGUAGGCGGGUCUUUAAGUCAGAGGUGAAAUCCUGGAGCUCAACUCCAGAACUGCCUUUGAUACUGAAGGUCUUGAGUAUGGCAGAGGUGAGUGGAACUGCGAGUGUAGAGGUGAAAUUCGUAGAUAUUCGCAAGAACACCAGUGGCGAAGGCGGCUCACUGGGCCAUUACUGACGCUGAGGCACGAAAGCGUGGGGAGCAAACAGG